rnacentral:lncRNA from 1 species
ACUCAUUUUGCUCCGUAUGUAUUCCAUAUUAUAAUCUCUAAAAAAAUUUAUAUUUAGAAAUGGAGGGAGUUUUAGAGUGUAGAUUCACUGAUUUUGCUCCGUAUGUAGUCUGUAUUGGAAUCUCUAAAAAACUUAUAUUUAGGAACGAAGGGACUACUAUAUUUGAUCGUUCUAGAGAAAGUUCACAAAUAAAUUCCACCUAAAUAGUGAUUACUAAUAUCUCUCGCACUAACACUCUCAUCACUCUUACGAAUAGUCUCUCUAAAAAAAUAGGCAUCAACAUAGCCUCCUCAACCAAAUAAAUGUAUGUGUAUUCACAUAUAUAAAUGUUAACAAGUACAGACAAGACAAUGAAUUAUUCAAAGAUUUAUAGGUGUUAUAGGCAGUAGACACAACAAUGAAGUAUUGAACACCUUUUGCUAUACGGAACUUCAUAUAAUUAAUACGGAUGUGUUGAAGAGAUAAUCUGAGUUGAAGCGACGAUCUAAGUUGGGCAGAAUGUCAACUGAAAAAAGUUAAUUCCCCAAAACAACUGAAGGUAAGCAAAAAGGCAGGGGGAUAUGAGUAACUCUGACAUGAAUUGAGGCAGUCUUUGCUCGCUUGAUCCUAGAAAAACUCGCAUAUUGGUCACCUGUCUGCAUUUGUCCUUCCCUGCUUCUGAGUAGUACCUGACCGUAGAACACCCUCUCCCUCUGGCGAGCAUGAAAAUUAUGAGUAAAAAGAAACCAUGCAAAGAUAAAAAAAAGGUAGAGAAAGGUGAGGAGAAAAUAAGCAUCUCCUUAUCUGCACCAGGAAGGGGAUAACAGGAGACCACGAGCCGAUUUCUCAUAAAGAAUCCAAAAUCCACGCAAUUGCUGGAUGCUAGCAGACCAAGCAUCUGGGAAAGGAGGAGAAGGAAGUGAAGAGGAGAGAUUACCUGGAGGAGAGCCACCGCUCNNN